rnacentral:snoRNA from 1 species
UCUGGCUGUGAUGACACACUUGCCCUCACUGAGUUUAGUCUUGAUUGAGACAUCUGUACUCUCCUGAGCCACA